GAUGAACGCUGGCGGCGUGCCUAAUACAUGCAAGUCGAACGAAACUUCUUUAUCACCGAGUGCUUGCACUCACCGAUAAAGAGUUGAGUGGCGAACGGGUGAGUAACACGUGGGCAACCUGCCCAAAAGAGGGGGAUAACACUUGGAAACAGGUGCUAAUACCGCAUAACCAUAGUUACCGCAUGGUAACUAUGUAAAAGGUGGCUAUACUACCGCUUUUGGAUGGGCCCGCGGCGCAUUAGCUAGUUGGUAGGGUAAAGGCUUACCAAGGCAAUGAUGCGUAGCCGAAUUGAGAGGUUGAUCGGCCACACUGGGACUGAGACACGGCCCAAACUCCUACGGGAGGCAGCAGUAGGGAAUCUUCCACAAUGGGCGAAAGCCUGAUGGAGCAACGCCGCGUGGGUGAAGAAGGUCUUCGGAUCGUAAAACCCUGUUGUUAGAGAAGAAAGUGCGUGAGAGUAACUGUUCACGUUUCGACGGUAUCUAACCAGAAAGCCACUGCUAACUACGUG
rnacentral:rRNA from 1 species